rnacentral:rRNA from 1 species
UACGUAGGUGGCAAGCGUUGUCCGGAUUUACUGGGUGUAAAGGGCGUGCAGCCGGGCUGACAAGUCAGAUGUGAAAUCCCGCGGCUCAACCGCGGAACUGCAUUUGAAACUGUCAGUCUUGAGUACCGGAGAGGUCAUCGGAAUUCCUUGUGUAGCGGUGAAAUGCGUAGGUAUAAGGAAGAACACCAGUGGCGAAGGCGGAUGACUGGACGGCAACUGACGGUGAGGCGCGAAAGCGUGGGGAGCAAACAGG